rnacentral:rRNA from 1 species
GAUGAACGCUGGCGGCGUGCCUAAUACAUGCAAGUCGAGCGAAUGGAUUAAGAGCUUGCUCUUAUGAAGUUAGCGGCGGACGGGUGAGUAACACGUGGGUAACCUGCCCAUAAGACUGGGAUAACUCCGGGAAACCGGGGCUAAUACCGGAUAACAUUUUGAACCGCAUGGUUCGAAAUUGAAAGGCGGCUUCGGCUGUCACUUAUGGAUGGACCCGCGUCGCAUUAGCUAGUUGGUGAGGUAACGGCUCACCAAGGCAACGAUGCGUAGCCGACCGGAGAGGGGGAUCGGCCACACUGGGACUGAGACACGGCCCAGACUCCUACGGGAGGCAGCAGGAGGGAAUCUUCCGCAAUGGACGAAAGUCUGACGGAGCAACGCCGCGUGAGUGAUGAAGGCUUUCGGGUCGUAAAACUCUGUUGUUAGGGAAGAACAAGUGCUAGUUGAAUAAGCUGGCACCUUGACGGUACCUAACCAGAAAGCCACGGCUAACUACGUGCCAGCAGCCGCCGCCG